GCCGUGUUUGCGCAGUUCGUUCUCGCUCAAUUUGCUCCUCACCUCUACGUGAUCGUAUUCGCAAUCUUGCUGCAAGAGAAAAUCAAACCAAUACAUUCCUAUAUCAUGUCAAAUGAUUCUUGCUAAAGGGCAAAUGGCACGUAAAAUUCCCUAACGAGAAGUGCAGCCAGUCAAGGACCCCCACAACCGCUUGCACAAGUUUUAAGCGUUUCGCCAUUUGAUAGUUGGCUCUCCAUUAGCCGGGCUUCCAACCUUGAUAGAAGCGUGAAUCGUCGGGGAAAGAAGAAACGGGUCAACAGUCAACACUUUGGACAUGCCUUUAUUGGCCCCGUUUUCCCUUGAAGAGACUAGAACUGAAGCGUUCGAAGAGCUAAAUAUUCACAGCAACGAUCGCAUCAGCACUUGACAAGCUACGAAUAUGUAGGUCGUCGUAAAAGGAACAUCUCCAAUCGAUUUGAUCAAAUAUGCAACUAUGCAAAACUGUUGUUAACUGGGAAAAAGUUCCCACAUUCUUUGAAUUUAUCGAUCUAACUAUUGAGAAAUUGGACUAUUUUUCACGAGAAUUGGGGCUUCGGGAAAAAAUGUACGUCUAGUGCCUGGUCGACGUUCAUCAAAAGCUUCCCCUCUAUGUGAUUAUCUACUUGCCUAAGGAAUGCCGAGUUGGAACAAACACGAUUUGCAUAAUUUGCCGAAGGUCGUGAAUUGAAAUUACAACACAAGUGGGCACUGAACUCGAUGCACUUGCAAUUGGUUUUCUUACCUGCUUUACAAGGAUCCAGGUAGAUGUCGUCAGAUAUCCGAUGAGGAAAGCGUUUAGUUAGAAGUUCAUGGAUGCUAAAGUCAUCAGCAGAGGCGGCCGAUUGCGGCCCGACCAGGAACGCAGAAGCGACGAUUACAAGACCCGCACGAAACAAAACGAUGGCGGACGGUCGUCUGACUACGACCGGACUCGUUAUGGACGGACGCAUCUUAAUGAUUUCCUCUUACAGAGAGGAAGUUGGCUAAACAGAAGAAAAAGAAAAACAAAGAAGAGAACGUUUUUGUUUUGUUUUUCUUCUUGUUUCUCCAGUCGCUCAACUGACCCCCCGCACUGCUCCGACUGGAUAACCUUCUUUCUUCGUACGUACGAAAACAGAGACUGUUUAAAAAAAAAAUAAAUAAAGCACCAAACUAACGCUAUUUUUAGGUAGGCUCACAAUCGGCUUGUUCUUCCUUUUUAAUCGCUAGACCCAAUGGGACUGUCCCCUCCAACAAAACGUAGCUGCUCGAAGAUGAAUCGACUCUCCUCUCUUUCGCCUUUUUUUUUUUUUGUGUGGUGAGGGCUUAUUUU